rnacentral:rRNA from 1 species
UACAGAGGGUGCAAGCGUUGUUCGGAAUUAUUGGGCGUAAAGCGCGUGUAGGCGGCUUUGCAAGUCGGGUGUGAAAGCCCUCAGCUCAACUGAGGAAGUGCGCCCGAAACUGCAGAGCUUGAGUACCGGAGAGGAUGGCGGAAUUCCCCAAGUAGAGGUGAAAUUCGUAGAUAUGGGGAGGAACACCAGUGGCGAAGGCGGCCAUCUGGACGGAUACUGACGCUGAGACGCGAAAGCGUGGGUAGCAAACAGG